GCGGUUCGGGCAGCUUGGUCAUGUGCGCGUGUUACGCGAAGAUGGGGUGCAGGAAGACGGUGAUUUUUGUGUGUAUUUUGCUCACGGUUGACAUUUUUUCACUUUUUAGAUUUUGACUGCCAUCCCAUGGGUGCACAGGUGCAGUGCUGGGGGACUGGACAUGCAGUGCGUUGGCGCCGACUUGCAUUCACGGACAAAAAUGUGGAUUUAUUUUUUAAGUCCCUCGUCACUGUAAUUUGUGUGUGUUUGUAUUGUGGAUUAAAAAGAGGACCAUUGCAGUUCGUUCGCCCUGUCUCGUAGUCCAGAGAAGUAUAGAUUGCAACUCUAUUGUAAACGUGCAUUGAAGACAACAACACAUUUUUCAAGUGUAGCUCACUUGUUUCAUCGAGGUUCACUUUUCAUAAAGUAUUGCGGUUCACCAACACUCGACAUGAAGUGCACU
rnacentral:lncRNA from 1 species